rnacentral:rRNA from 1 species
GGCUGCAGUGAGGAAUAUUGGACAUUGGGCGGGAGCUUGAUGCAGGCAUGGCGGGAGCAGAAAGACUGCCGUAUGGGUUGUUAACUGCUUUUAUACGGGAAGAAACACCCACUCGAGAGGGGGCUUGACGGUACCGUAUGAAUAAGGAUCGGCUAACUCCGUGCCAGCAGCCGCGGUAUUACGGAGGAUGCAAGCGUUAUCCGGAAUCAUUGGGUUUAAAGGGUCCGUAGGCCCGUAUAUCAGUCAGUGGUGAAAGUCUGCAGCUCAACUGUAGAACUGCCAUUGAUACUGCAAACCUUGAGUAAUUAUGAAGUGGUUAGAAUAUGUAGUGUAGCGGUGAAAUGCAUAGAUAAUCCAUAGAAUACCGAUUGCGAAGGCAGAUCACUAAUAAUUUACUGACGCUGAUGGACGAACGCGUAGGUAGCGAACAGGAUUAGAUACCCUGGUAGUCUACGCCGUAAACGAUGGUUACUCCCUGUUUGGUCCGAUUAAGGUCUGAGUGGCUAAGCGAAAGUGAUAAGUAACCCACCUG